UAGCGGCGGACGGGUGAGUAAUGCUUAGGAAUCUGCCUAUUAGUGGGGGACAACAUCUCGAAAGGGAUGCUAAUACCGCAUACGUCCUACGGGAGAAAGCAGGGGAUCUUCGGACCUUGCGCUAAUAGAUGAGCCUAAGUCGGAUUAGCUAGUUGGUGGGGUAAAGGCCUACCAAGGCGACGAUCUGUAGCGGGUCUGAGAGGAUGAUCCGCCACACUGGGACUGAGACACGGCCCAGACUCCUACGGGAGGCAGCAGUGGGGAAUAUUGGACAAUGGGGGGAACCCUGAUCCAGCCAUGCCGCGUGUGUGAAGAAGGCCUUAUGGUUGUAAAGCACUUUAAGCGAGGAGGAGGCUACUUUAGUUAAUACCUAAGAUAGUGGACGUUACUCGCAGAAUAAGCACCGGCUAACUCUGUGCCAGCAGCCGCGGUAAUACAGAGGGUGCCAGCGUUAAUCGGAUUUACUGGGCGUAAAGCGCGCGUAGGCGGCUUAUUAAGUCAGAUGUGAAAUCCCCGGGCUUAACUUGGGAAUUGCAUUCGAUACUGGUAAGCUAGAGUAUGGGAGAGGAUGGUAGAAUUCCAGGUGUAGCGGUGAAAUGCGUAGAGAUCUGGAGGAAUACCGAUGGCGAAGGCAGCCAUCUGGCCUAAUACUGACGCUAAGGUGCGAAAGCAUGGGGAGCAAACAGGAUUAGAU
rnacentral:rRNA from 1 species